AACGCACCUUGCACCCUUUGGUAUUCCGAAGGGUACACCCGUUUGAGUGUCAUUGUAAUCUCACCUCUUCGACUUUUGUCGAUUAGUGUGGACUUGGAUGUUGCCGUGUAACAAACGGCUCGUCUGAAAUGCUUGAGUGUACCCUGCUUUGUGGCGUAUUCGGUGUGAUAAAUCUUCACCGGAGUCUGACUUUUGAGUCGCGCUUGUAUUGUAUGGCUCUAUGCUUCCAACCGUCCUAACAAGACAAUGUUUGACAAUUUGACCUCAAAUCGGGUGGGACUACCCGCUGAACUUAA
rnacentral:misc_RNA from 1 species